GGGGGGGGGGGGGGGGGGGGGUGGGGGGUGGGGGGCGGGCGGAGGGGCGGGGGGCGUGGUUGUCUGGUGGGAGCGGCGGACGGGUGGGUAGCGCGUGGCUAACCUACCUAUAAGGCUGGGGUAACUUCGGGAAACCGGGGCUCCUACCGGGUACUAUUUUUAACCUCCUUUUUCCACCUUGCACGACGUUCUUUCUUUCACUUAUAGUUUGCUCCUCGCUGCAUUAGCUAGUUGGUAAGUUAACGUCUUACCAAGGCAACGAUUCAUAGCCGACCUGAGAGGGUGAUCGGCCACACUGGAACUGAGACACGGUCCAGAAUCCUACGGGAGGCAGCAGUAGGGAAUCUUCCGAAAUGGGCGAAAGCCUGACGGAGCAACGCCGCGUGAGUGAUGAAGGUCUUCGGAUCGUAAAACUCUGUUAUUAGGGAAGAACAUAUGUGUAAGUAACUGUGCACAUCUGGACGGUACCUAAUCAGAAAGCCACGGCUAACUACGUG
rnacentral:rRNA from 1 species